CCUCAGGAGCAGGUGUAGUUUACACAGUGGCCCCGGCAGUUGGGGAUGGACGGAUCCGGCAGGUACAUCGGUCCGAGAUGCGGGGCGUCCCUGACGGAUUACGACCCACAGUAGAUCGUGAUACCGCAUCAACCAGUGGAGCCGGGCUACCCAGGGUAUCUCCGGCCUCAGAGGGAGACAAAACAACGUCAACCCAUGGAGCGGGACUGUCUAGGGUACCCCCAGCCUUAGAGGAAUGUGACACCGGGGAGGUGGUGGUCUGGUACCGUGGAGAGGAACCCCAAGCCAUGCCCGAAACGUCUGAUGCCGCUUCUGCGGUUGAACUGGAGAUGCCUGUGCCGCCUGACACCCCCCCUGCUGUUGAAAUGGAUGCUGGGUCUGGAGACACGACCCCCACCUUGCGACGCUCAGUAAGAUCUAAGCUAGGUCAGCAUUCUAAUCCCCAUCACCUCCCCCGAGCAGUGGGUGCCAGGAACAACGAACCAAUAAGUACAGAAGGAGAAGAGUCCAGGACCUGAGCUGUCAUCGUCGGGUCGCCGAUUCAUUUGGAGGGGGUGGAUUGUAGCCGGUGGGACCAAUGGGUGUAGCGAACUUUUAUUUUGAUUCACCUCUGUCACCUUUCUCCUGUGUGUACGUCACUAGUAGGGUCUUGGGCUGGGUUCCAAUUAGUUUAGUGCGAACAGGCAUAGAUAUAUACACCUUGGGUCCUUAUGCCGGUAGCCGUCCAUUGCUGAUUGUGGAGUGAAGCCGCGUUCUGGAGCGUUGUCUUCAGCGACACGGUAGCGUGUUAUAGAGCGGAUGCCAACAGGAACGAGUUGAGCGUCUUCCCUACCAACUGCACUCCAUAUCCCGUUUACAUGCAUCGCAACGUGUUAAGUAGCAGUCAGUGUAUCAGUGCGGUGGUUAUUGUGGUUGCUGGCAGCGUAUAGAUACCAGGUGCAUGACGUUCUCGGGUGCAGCUGUUUAGACAGCGAAGAAGCUAUUGAAGCACACAGCUAUACAGCAUUGUUAGCUGCUGUUCUCUUCCAGUUAGUUAUAGGUCCGGGUGCUGCUUUUAGAAUAUAUGCAUCUCUGUUUUCCCCUCUAGCCUGGGGGCCUAGGUGUGUAUAUGUGGUUAAGAGGAUAUUGUGAGCCACAGGUUAGAGGGUUUAUUUUUGUUUGUUUCAUUAAUUUGUUAUCUGUUUCCCCUGUGUCAUCUCCCCUGCCGCAAUAGCCUGGGUAUCGUUUGGGGCCCUAGCCUAGAUUACAGGUUGGCCAGGUUUUCCUCUAAGAUAGUUUCUCACCUUUGAUAAGAUGUGCAGUGUAAUGCAGUGAAGUGUGAACCCCUUUUUCUUAAUGUGCCCAAGUGGUGCGCUUGCGGUGGUGUGGCCAAUGAGCUAGUAGUGUGUGCUCUCCUUCACGUGUGGUAUUGGAGGCAGGCCCCUGUUAGUCUGUGUGGUCAGUGGCUCCGGAUUCUUACCCAACGGCUGGGGCAUUCCCCUGAAGUCCAUUUAAUGUAUUUAUGUAUUUAUUUAUUGACAACCAAAGUGACACCUUGUU